rnacentral:lncRNA from 1 species
CUCUGAUCAUCAAUAGAACUGGAUUUCAUUCUCCCUUCUCAACCACAUCUGUCACAAAAAAAGAGAAAUAUAGAGAAAAGCAGAGGAAGAGAAAGGGAGUUUUGGCAUCCCUCUCUCCCAUGUGUUGGACUCUGAUUGUGCGCCCAGCACCACCCUUGGCAAGUUACUUGCAUUACUGAUUUAAUCCUCACCUUUGAAGUAGGCAUUUUUGUUAUUCUCACUUACAGAUGAGGGAACUGAAGGUGAGAAUAAAUAACUUGCCCAAGGUGAGAUAACUGGUGCCCAUUACAGCCCACAUUUGAGACCAGGAUGGUCCAACUCCAGAACCCAUUCCCUUCACCAUGAUGUUGCUGAACUACCACCCAAUAGGAGGCACAUGCUCACUGGUGGGUAUGGCGUGAUGAUGAUGGUGAUGAUGAUGAUGAUACAUGGUCGCUAAAUUGUUAUGACGGAGCAUUUAUUUUAUGCUCAACACUGUACUAAGUGAUUCAUAUACGUUGUUCUACCAAAAUCUCCCAACAAACCAAUGAGGCAGAUUUUUUUUUAAAGAUUUUAUUUUUCCUUUUUCUCCCAAAGCCCCCCAGUACAUAGUUGUAUAGUUUUAGUUGUGGGUCCUUCUAGUUGUGGCAUGUGGGACACCGCCUCAGCAUGGCUUGAUGAGUGGUGCCAUGUCUACGCCCAGGAUUCGAACCAGUGAAACCCUGGGCUGCUGAGUCAGAGCGCGCGAACUUAACCACUCGGCCACGGGGCUGGCCCCUUAUGAUUUAUCUGUGGAUGAGAAACUGAAGGCCCAGAGAGAUUUGGGAACUCAUCAAGGUUUCCCAGGUGGAUGUGAGUGGCAGAGCUUAGAACAGAGACAAAGUAUGCCUGGCUCUAAAGAUGAUGCUAAGGCUCGGAAGGGUUAAGCCAGAGGAUUUCUUCACUGGCUGGAGUUCACUCUGAUUCACAGAACCUUGCUGGAGAAAGGGAUCUCCUGGGAUCUUUUAGCUCACCCCUCUGCCUUUGGGGGGAACUUUGGACACAGACAUGCACACCAAAAGGAUGCCAGGUGAAGAUGAAGGCAGAAGCCAGGGUGAUGCUUCUACAAGCCAAGGAAUGCCAAAGACUGGUAGUAAACCACCAGUCUAGCCGAGAGGCCUGGAACAGAUUCUCCUUCACAGCCCUCAGAAGGGACCAAGCUAUACUGACAUCUUGAUCUUGGACCUCGAACCUCCAGAACUGUGAGACAAUAAAUUUCUGGUGUUAAGCCCCCUAGUUUGUGGUACUUUUUUACAGCAGCCCUAGCAAACUAAUACAUCUGCUGAAUUCCAAUGGCUUAAAACAACAGUUUAUUUCUUGCACAUGCUGCAUGCCCAUUUUGAGUUGGCAGGGGGCUCUGGUAUCACAGUCUUUCAGGUACCCAGGCUGAUGGAAUAGCCACC